ACUAAUUCAUCUAUUCAAGAGACUUUCCAAACCUUGGCUUCCCCACUUCAAGGAAAAUCCCUCCUGCCUAUUUCUUAGCCAAGGGAAGUCAAAUAAUGCAAAGCAGUAAUAUCACUGGGCUACCACGAAAUCCUGCCUUCUAAGUCUUUGUUUUGAAUCUUCACUGAAGACACUGUCAUUAUACACCAGCAUGCCUCUAGCUAUAAGCAUGCCUUGUCAUGCUGGAUAUUUAUUUACUCAAGCAGUUUAAAGCACUGAGGGAAAAGGGUGGGAGCUAUAGGAACAAGGCCAGUUCCCAAUUCAGAACUGAAAAUGCUCUGGUGACAGAAACUACAAAGUUAGCAUCUAUUUAUCCACUGCCUUUAAAACGUUCUUGUUUUGUUUUUAAAGACAGGUGUGAGAAGAGAUAUGUCAAUCAAACAAGUUCAAGUAGCAAUACAGUCCUUCUCCACUCCAUCACCAUCACCUGUGUCUUCAUUUCUGGCAGCUUCUUGCUAACAGAUGAGCACUUAAGAAAUAAUCAUUGACAAGUCACUGGCUCCUGGGAUCACUGAGCUACCUUUGGUCAGUACUUCAAGUUUGGAGGAGCUGGGCUCAAAUUUGACCUUAGAUACUUCUUAGCUGCGUGACUACUUAUCAGUCACUUAACCCCACAUGCCCAGCCCUUGCUACUUUUCUGUCUUAGAACAGAUACUAAGAAAGAAGGUAAGAGUUGUGUUUUAUUAAGAGCCUACUCCAUGCCAGCAUUGGUGGGGAAUAGGAAGAAAAGCAAAGACAGUCUCUGCUCUCAAAGAGUUCGCAAUUGAAUGGGGAAACUGGCAUGCAAAUAACUAUGUACAAACAAGCCACAUACAGGCUGAAAUGGAGAUAAUAACAGAGGAAAAGCACUAAGAUUGAGGAGGACUGGGAAAGGCUUCAUUAAUCUUUGUGGAAUCCCACAAGAAGACUGAAAAUGACCCCGUGCUGAAUGUUGAAUGAGUCAAUAAUUCUCAAAAAGAGGAAAAGUUGGAGAAAGCCAAGGCCAAAAUACUCCCAAGUACAUGGUUUGUAAAUAGUUAAAAAGGUACAUGGUCAUCAUGAUAAGCCAACAAGACUUCACCUAAUAUAAGUCAUGCUAUUGAUUAAACUAAUUUCCUUUUUUUUUUUGGAUAGUUACUAGACUGGUAAUUCAGGAAACGAUGUAUACAGAAGACAUCUGGAUUUCAGAAGGGCAUUUGGCAAAGUUCUUUCUUCUAUGUCGUGUGGAAGAGAGAAAUUGGGAAAGCUUGCAACAAGACAGGAAUAGCUGGUACUGAUGACCUGUCAUUCAAAUGACAGCAUUCUGGUUUGGAAUGUUCCUGGGAGAGGCAAUUGGAAGAAGGGAGCAGACCAACUAAAGUCUGGACGUUUUGGCCUAGAAGACAGAAGAGGUCUGAUGUCUCUUGGCUUUUAGAGACUGAAGCCUGAAGGUUGUCUUUGGCUUUGAAGACAGAAGAAAGAAGGACAAAGAAAGUCCAGCUCUCUCUCUAAUUAGCACUGUUGUGAUAGUGACUGAACUUCCAGAUCUAUCAGCCAUUUCUCCCAAUUGAAUUAUCCUUCAAUCUAGGAAAACCCCCAAAACCCUCUUUCCCUCCAUUCCUUAUCCUUCCCUGUCUUCCCCCAAUAAAUCCCUUACUUAAGAUAGAAAAGAGAAAGAGUAUUUCAUUUGAGACAUCAUAAAUUCACCCUGAGUAGAUUUAAAAGACCAACAGAAGGAGGG